GACGAACGCUGGCGGUGGGCUUAACACAUGCAAGUCGAACGGCAGCGCCCUGCGUUCGUGGUCUUCCCGGUUGGCGAUGGCGGGAGGGAGAGGUAAGCAUCGGGCUCUUGUCUUUCGGAUAGGUUCACGAAACGGGGGUUAAUAUCGUAUAGCAUCUCCUGUACCGUUGUAGGGGUGGGAUCUUCUAGGCGUGUGGGGAUGGAUGCGCGGCUUAUCAGCUUGUUGGUUGGGUAGUGGCUUACCCAGGCUUUGAAGGGUAGCCGGCCUGUGAGGGUGACCGGCCACAUUGGGCCUGAGAUACGGCCCAGACUCCUACGGGAGGCAGCAGUGGGGAAUAUUGCACAAUGGGCGGAAGCCUGAUGCAGCAACGCCGCGUGCGGGAUGACGGCCUUCGGGUUGUAAACCGCUUUCGCCUGUGACGAAGCGUGAGUGACGGUAAUGGGUAAAGAAGCACCGGCUAACUACGUG
rnacentral:rRNA from 1 species